GUGCCAGCCGCCGCGGUAAUACGAGGGGUGCUAGCGUUGUCCGGAUUUACUGGGCGUAAAGGGUACGUAGGCGUUUUAAUAAGUUGUAUGUUAAAUAUCUUAGCUUAACUAAGAAAAUGCAUCCAAAACUGUUAAAAUAGAGUUUGAGAGAGGAACGCAGAAUUCAUGGUGGAGCGGUGACAUGCGUAGAUAUCAUGAGGAAAGUCAAAUGCGAAGGCAGCCUUCUGGCUCAAAACUGACGCUGAGGUACGAAAGCGUGGGGAGCGAACAGGAUUAGAUACCCGCGUAGUCCG
rnacentral:rRNA from 1 species